UCUGCUCGUUUCAUUAUAUUGUAUUUCUAACCUUCACUUGAGUGGUUACAAUUCUUUGUUCUUUACGUUUGAAUUAGUAUGAAAGGGUAUAAUCACUUCUCAUUAUAUAUUUUUAUUUGGAUCCAUAGACAAUUAGGAAAGGAAACUCAAUAUGAAUAUUAAUAGAUUUAUAUACAUUCCUAGCUUUUGCUUGCUCUUCCCCCCUCUUUAAUAGAUGACACAUGCUUUGAAUAGAGUUGAUUGGUGAAAGAGGAUCCAUUUUAGCCGACCCCACUUAGUUGGGAUAAGGCUGAGUUGAGAUGAGGACUGAGAAAAACAAUCAGGAGCCAUUAAAUUAUAACAUAGACAUGCCUUAACCAUUUUCCGGUUGUGUUCAUUUUGGAGACUUGCUUGCUUAUGAUGCUUCUUAUAUUCUUAUUCCUUGAGAAACAGAAGAAAAUGAGGGGGGAGGGAUUAAUAGAAAGACUGUUGCAGGGAAAAAUAAUGCAUUUACAAGAAAGGAAAUAUAAAUACAGUUUAAUUUCUGACAUAGCUACCAUAUAUGUGUGUGCGUUUUUAUGCCAAAUUUAUAGGAUUGCCAUAUAUGUAUGCACGUUUUUAUGCCAAAUUUAUAGGAUUACUAUCAGUAAGCUCUUAUCUGUGUCACACGCUGCUAUAUGUAUCAUGUACGUCUUCUUGUUAAAAUUACAUAGAGGGGGAUAAGAGAAGUGGAUGAAGAAAUAUGAUUGUAUCAUGGCAGAGGAGUUUAUUGUCGUAUCAGUUUUUUUUUUUCUGUAUUGUUCAGUUAUUAUUUGGAGUAAUAAGAGUGAUGGAAACUUUGGGAAAGAAAUGAUCUUGUUGGUGCUUCGCAGGGGGGGGGGGAAUGAAAAUUGUCUUUGUCUUAUCACCAAAGAUAGAUAAAUAAUUGCUUAAGGAGAAGUCAUACAACUAAGAUUCUUAGAGUAUUCACCUGUACUGCAGCAUCUUGCAUGUUGUAUUAGGCAUGCUUGAGUUCGUUGUACCCUUUUAGGUUAUCCUAUUGUAGUUUAGGUUAUGUUUCUGUGCCAUUUUUUGUGCUCCUGCAUGUACCGAUUAUACCUCUACUCAUCUUUUGAGUAUUUUAUCUAUAUGCAGGCAUUUGAGGAAGCUAUAGCUGAGCUGGACACAUUGGGUGAAGAGUCAUACAAGGACAGCACUCUCAUCAUGCAACUCCUGAGGGACAAUCUCACCCUCUGGACUUCGGAUGUGGAGCAGCUCGACGAAGCAUAGAUGAUAGGUCAUUCAUCUUCAGAAGGGAGGUGGGCUUGAAUGUUAUUUUCUGUAUUCUGCAUAUAUGACCAAUCAAUGUAUCCUGUACGUUCAGCGAAAAACAACCCAUGCUGUUUCUGAUAAUUAAACUAGAUUUGCUUCGAAA